UACAGAGGGUGCAAGUGUUAUCCGGAAUCACUGGGCGUAAAGCGUCUGUAGGUGGUUCGAAAAGUCCACUGUUAAAAAUUGAGGCUUAACUUCAAAGAUGCCGUGGAAACUUUCAAACUAGAGUAUGGUAGGGGUAGAGGGAAUUUCCAGUGGAGCGGUGAAAUGCGUAGAUAUUGGAAAGACCACCGAUGGCGAAGGCACUCUACUGGGCCAUUACUGACACUGAGAGACGAAAGCUAGGGGAGCAAAUGGG
rnacentral:rRNA from 1 species